GUAAGGAAUAUUGGUCAAUGGACGAAAGUCUGAACCAGCCAUGCCGCGUGAAGGAUGAAGGCCCUCUGGGUUGUAAACUUCUUUUAUCUGGGACGAAAAAAGGGUAUUCUUACUCACUUGACGGUACCAGAGGAAUAAGCACCGGCUAACUCCGUGCCAGCAGCCGCGGUAAUACGGAGGGUGCAAGCGUUAUCCGGAUUCACUGGGUUUAAAGGGUGCGUAGGUGGGUAUUUAAGUCAGUGGUGAAAGCUCCGAGCUUAACUCGGAAACUGCCAUUGAUACUAGUUACCUUGAAUGCCCUGGAGGUAAGCGGAAUAUGUCAUGUAGCGGUGAAAUGCUUAGAUAUGACAUAGAACACCAAUUGCGAAGGCAGCUUACUACGGGGUGAUUGACACUGAGGCACGAAAGCGUGGGGAGCAAACAGGAUUAGAAACCCGUGUAGUCC
rnacentral:rRNA from 1 species